CGCUAUUUAGGUUCGGCCCACCAAGGCGACGAUCCGUAGCUGGUCUGAGAGGACGAUCAGCCACACUGGGACUGAGACACGGCCCAGACUCCUACGGGAGGCAGCAGUGGGGAAUUUUGGACAAUGGGGGCAACCCUGAUCCAGCCAUGCCGCGUGCGGGAAGAAGGCCUUCGGGUUGUAAACCGCUUUUAGCCGGGAAGAAAAGGCCAUCCCUAAUACGGGUGGUUUUUGACGGUACCGGCGGAAUAAGCACCGGCUAACUACGUGCCAGCAGCCGCGGUAAUCGCCC
rnacentral:rRNA from 1 species